rnacentral:lncRNA from 1 species
AAUGAUGAAGGCAUGUUCCUACCACCUUUCUUUAGAUGCAGAGAGGGACCCUGAAAAUAGUUCCCAAGUUGCUAGAUCACAGAACACUAUCUCAGCCCCCACCUCUCAGGAUGUCAGCAAGAUCCGAUAUGAACCACCCAAGAAGGAAAGUGCCCGUCCUAAGUGGAAGAACCUUGAAGUUAAGCCCUCCCUCAACUAAAAUACAGCUUCCUUCCAGAAGGGAAAUGAAUCUCUGUCAUGUCCCAGUGAUGAGAGAGGAAAAACGUCCUCUGUUGACUGAGCAACUGGAUUCCUGGGACUGAUAGAGUCAACUGGAUAUUUGAAGGCAUGCUGUGUCUUUGUAAUGUACAUGUCAGAUUCUGUGUUGUAGAAGCUUCGUUUUGGUGUUAUCAGGACUCCUAUGAUGUAUACGGGAUUUCUGUAGGUCCUAUGUGUGUUAGAAACUUGGCCCCGGUGUGGCAAGAGGAGUCGUGGAAUCCUUGAGUUGUGAAGCUUAAUGGAGGUCAUCUCAAUUUGGAAAGGUAUUAAUAUAGUUUUAAUGAGACGUCAGU